rnacentral:tRNA from 1 species
CUCUUGGUAGCUCAGCUGGUAGAGCAAUUGACUCUUAAUCAAUGGGUCGGGGGUUCGAAUCCCCCCCGGGAGAC